rnacentral:tRNA from 1 species
AGGGUUUUAAGUUAAAAUAAACUUAUAGCCUUCAAAGCUAUAUAUAAAGGGUUAAUUCUUUAAGCCUUA